rnacentral:tRNA from 1 species
CGGGGCGUAGCGCAGUUUGGUAGCGUGCUUGGUUCGGGACCAAGAGGCCGCAGGUUCAAAUCCUGUCGCCCCGA